ACAAACAGCUGAAGAUCUGCCUGGACCCCCUACCCCUCUCUUUUUUCCUUGUGGAAACUGUGUAUAAUUUGGAAAGAGCAAGGACAUCCUGGCUCGCAGCUGGCCAGCUCCACCUGCGACCUGGACAGCCUCGCCCCUCCCUGCGGAGCCAGGCGAGUUCACAGGGCUGCCUCCGCUUCUUGCAGCAUGUCUGCUCUCCUGGCCUGGCCUCUCCAGACCUUUCCCUCCACGGGCAGCGAUUUCCAAGGCUCUCAAGACUCCAAACCACGUCGUUUUGGGAGUGAAAAAGUGAAAGCACACAUCGUGUCAUUAGAGCAGCAGGGACCAGCUGCUGGGUCAACACUUCCGAAAACAGCGCUUCCUGGGGAGCGACCGGAGCAUCUCAGAAUCUACGGUUUGACCUCCUGCCAAUUCUCAUGAACGUGCUUCAGAGUUGCACUUAGCCUAGAACAUGGCCUGACCUCUAUGGUAUGAAUAAAUGAGCUCCAUGAAGACAAUAAGAUCUCCUGAAAUUAUACAGACAGCAAAGUAUGUCGCUGUGCUUCCUUGUCUUCCUGUGAUGACCCAUGUGCCAUCUUACACAAAUGGACAAUCAAUGGAGGACCUGUGAGUGUUGUUUUCCUGAGCUUCUCCUCUGUCUCCUCUUGUGGCUGCACUUGACUGAGCAUUUCAUGAAAGAAUACAGAAUGCACUUCUCAGACUACUCUUGGUCAGUCCUAAGCAGCACAACCUUAGCCACUGUGGAGCUAGUGCCAGCUGUGUGAAUCUGUACAGUGGUGCAGUGUUAAGGGCAAAGAGCACUUUGGAGCCAAGGCAGACAAAACUGCGCAGAGCUCCCAGGCCUGGGUGAUGAUCCCUCUUCCCAGACAUCUGAGGAGUUGCCAUAUUGAUGUUCUCUCAUUGUUUCGGCUGAGCUGGAAUGAUCGAAAUAAUUCUGGGACUAUGACAAGUCUCACCAGACCUCGUUAUGGAUCAGGGAGAGGGUCAGUCUUCAGGAGACGGAGCUGAGACAGGAGUCCUACUGGCAAGGUAGGAGCAGCACACUAGGGCUUUAUGGUCCAGGAUGCUUAAGAGAAAGAGAAAUGUACGUGAAGACAGCCUGGCAUCCACUACACAGGCCCUGCCUUCACCGUGUGGAUGUAGUUGCCCUGAGAGUGGACAGAGAAAGAAGAAUGAGAGCAGUGAGUCAGCGAAGGGCCUCAGAAUGGGGAUCUCAGGACCUUCAGAGCUGGCAGCCAUGUGGCUGCCUCAGGACACAGUCAUGCAGCACGUGGUGUCUGAGGGGUAGACAGUGAUUACCUCCUAAUCUCCCACAGAUGGUGCCCUGGGCAGGGGUGGGGAUGAGGACCCACCCAAGCAGGCACCUAGAAGAAUUUGAUCCUGGAACUCUUAGCAGGGAGGCAGUUCUGUGUAGGCAACUUCAUGGCAUCACCUCUGCAGGGCCUUGUGACCCUACCCAGGGUUAUUAGUCCCACAUUCUUCAAGAGCAAUGGCUGGAGAAUGGCAAGAGUUGAAUGGGAGUGGGGACACAGAGACAUUGUUAGGACUAUAGCAAGACAGAUCUAAUGCAUGAGUCUUACAGUGAAAAGAAAAGAAAGCCCAGUGAGCAGUGCCAAAUGCCACAGAAUCAAGUGCCUCCCUGCUGAAGAUGGGACAAGUGAGGACAACCAGGGCACUGUUUUGGUGGAGGAGCUGGAAGGACCCUGGGUUGGUGAAAGAACAUGACCUUAGCAGAGGCCCAUCACGUUAGGAAGGGGCACCAAGCUGCAGAACAGCAGGAUGGGCACAGCUGGCACAAAGCCCAUCCCAAGGCACAGAGAGAGAAGGAGGGACUUGGGGCGUUGCAGUCCAGUGAGUUCCCACUAGGGAACUCAGCACUUAAGACUCCUAGAGUAUGGUCUCUCAGGCUGAUGGACAGGAAGCCUGGAGAUGGGGCUAAGUAUGUGGAACAGGGACAGAAACCUCAAGGGUUCCCGAGAAACUGGGACAGGCCGGACAAGGCAAGAUGCUCCCCACUUGUAGGUCCAACAAGAAGCACGUUCUUCCAAAGAUUUAGGGUGUUGUGAAGGUGGCAGAGGGCAAGCAGAAUACUCCAUUUUAAAGAACACUCAGCCAUAUAUUAGCAGAAGUGCAAAUCAAUCUUUUGGAAACAGCAUCCCACCUUCCUCGGACAUUGAUAUUUAAGGCAGGGACUGCUAUGACAUUAGCCAGACUAUCCACACACCAAACCAGGCUGUCCCCGAGGCUCUGAUUCACAGCUAUUUACCAACACCCUGAAUGUGUUAUCUGAAACAGCAAUCAGGAGAGAAGGCUACACGAAAAUCUAGACAGGUCGCACCUUCUUCAACGUUUUGAAUUGCAAAGUAAGAGGUGACACCAGCCCAGGGAGGUGUUGUGACCGUGGAAGGAGAAAGAAUGAGCAAUAAUCUCUGGCACACCUCUGGGCAAAACGCUAAGCAGCACAAAAAGUGCGAGAGCAUAGGACACAUGGAGAAGAGAAGGUAUGGAGCAGAAAUGGCAUUUCACUGGGAACUGGGAUAAAUAGGAUCUUUCUUCACUCUAACUAGCUUGGUACAUUUGGGAAAGUGAUUUAAUGUCCCUGAGACCUGGCUUCUUCCCUUGUAGAACAUGAGAGUUGAUGCAGGUGUUCCUUGGGAUCCUCCUCAUCCUAGUAUUCUGUGAACGUGGGGGUCUGGGUAGUUCACAGACUGGGACACCCUCUCCCAGAUUUUCCAGAGUAAAUAUUACUCCCCUGAUGCAGCCUCAGCCAAUAGCAUGAUCCUUCCCAUCUCAGGAAAUGUGUCCAAUCAGAAAACAUAGAGGGUGGAUCCAUCGGUGAGAGAUCUUGCCGAGCGGUGUCAAGACUUCCCCGUGGCCCUAUGUUUACCAUGCAUUCGAUUCUCGGUGUGGUCCGGGCCUUUCUCACCUCAUCCAUUUCACCUACCAAGAAAGGAAAUGACAUUCAUCCGGGCUGGGGCACUAUUGCGCAACAAAACAAGCCAACCUGUAAUUAAGGAGAACUGAACGCUGAUGCUGAGCCCAGCAUCUUGGGGAAAGACUGCUGAGAGUUUCGCUUGGCUUUGGAAUUCAUUUAUCAGAUAACAUGCGCUGGAUUGACCUAAACUGCAACAUGGCCCUUGUAAUUAUACCGUGCUUUUGCUUUGGAGCCUGAGGGAAAUGUGGAAGGCGCUGGAGUCUGAGCUCUGGGUCACCUGAACGUCCUGUGAUUAUGCCCGGUCUCACAUUCAAAAGGAGAGAUGGGAGUGUUUGUAUUUUACCCACAGCAGCAGACUCAGCUCUAGGAUAUGUGGGGUGCAUGUGUCUUCUGUCUCUCCUGGAACUCAGUAUCUGUUCAUUCAUUCAUUGAGUACCUACUGUGAUCAAGGCACUGGAUGGGGCACUAUGACAAUUUCUCUUUUGGUAUUUUUUCAAGAUUUGUUUACUUGAUCUUCUAGCCCAGGGGUCAGCAAACCACAGGCCAUGGGCUAGAUCCAGGCCUUUGCCU
ensembl:lncRNA LINC01948 long intergenic non-protein coding RNA 1948